AGCGUUGCCCAACAGAAAUACAAAUAUAUAACAAAUUCCGUGCAAAAACAAAAAAAAACAAAUGUGAAAGGCGAAAAACGCGUUAAAAGUAAUCAAAAUUAAUACAACAAACAAGAAGAAGAAGAAGCAGAAGAAGCAGAGGAAGAAGAAGAAGCACACACACAGCGAGAACACAACAAAAAAGGCAAGAAGCGGGCAGAAGCCGAGCGCAAAGCAAAAAGGAAUACAUUAUUAUUAUCCACAAAAAGGCAAUCAAAAAAGCAACAGCAACAAAAGUGCCAUAUGCAACCGAUAAGACUGUGUGAAGUGGUCAACAACAACAACAACA